UACGGAAGGCAGCAGUGGGGAAUAUUGCACAAUGGGCGAAAGCCUGAUGCAGCUAUGCCGCGUGUAUGAAGAAGGCCUUAGGGUUGUAAAGUACUUUCAUCGGGGAGGAAAAACAAAACUAAUAAUUUUAUUUCUUGACGUUACCCGAAAAAGAAGCACCGGCUAACUCCGUGCCAGCAGCCGCGGUAAUACGGAGGGUGCUAGCGUUAAUCAGAAUUACUGGGCGUAAAGAGCACGUAGGUGGUUUUUUUAAGUUCAGAUGUGAAAUCCCUGGGCUUAACCUGGAACUGCAUUUUGAAACUGAAAUACUAGAGUAUCGUAGAGGGAGGGUAGAAUUCUAGGUGUAGCGGUGAAAUGCGUAGAUAUCUGGAGGAAUACCUGUGGCGAAAGCGGCCUCCUAAACGAAUACUGACACUGAGGUGCGAAAGCGUGGGGAGCAAACAGGGAUUAGAUACC
rnacentral:rRNA from 1 species